rnacentral:rRNA from 1 species
CUCGUAGGCGGCCAGCUAAGUCAGACGUGAAAUCCCUCGGCUUAACCGGGGAACUGCGUCUGAUACUGGAUGGCUUGAGAUUGGGAGAGGGAUGCGGAAUUCCAGGUGUAGCGGUGAAAUGCGUAGAUAUCUGGAGGAACACCGGUGGCGAAGGCGGCAUCCUGGACCAACACUGACGCUGAGUGAGCGAAAGCCAGGGGAGCAAACG